AGCUGUGCGUUCUUUUCCGCUCGGCUGUGGGAGGAGGCGGCUGCGGGGCCUCGUCGGUCAUGCGGGCCGGGCGGCAGCGCCGGCGGACAGGUUGCUGGGCCCUUCGAGGUGAAACCGAGCCUGUGAGGUGAAGAUGAAUGAACGUUGUGAUGCUUUCCAAAAACACGUGAGAAGAUGUCUGUGAUAAAACCACUAGGAGCAGAACUGCAUGUAAUGAGCAUAUAGGUAGCUGCAGAUGAAUGUUCAAGUCCAUAACUGUCAUGGUUAAAAAUUCGUCAUUGCCUCAGGAGAGAGAGACAGCGUGAGCAGGGGAGGGUCGGAGAGAGAG